AAUUACAUGCUGGGUUUUAUCAGGUAACUUGCUGCAAAUUAAAAAUUCACUGCUCUCAGUUAUAGGGCAAUUAUAUGUUCCAUCCUCCACCUAUCUGCUAAUAGCAAGAAUAACAAAAAGCACCAAAAUCCUGGAGCAAUGAGGCAUGGCUAAAGGGCAGCUUUCACAUGCUCCCCUUGGUGAGGAUCAGGUGUGCACAGGCCAUUCAUGAGAGCUCUUCUAACCUGUCUGCUAAACCUGUAAUUACGGUGGUUCCUCAAAUGCCCCUGGCAACCUGCUGCCCUUUUAAUUCUCCCUUGCUUCAAAGAAGCAGAUCCUGCUGACCUUGAUAAAUGGGGGGGGGGGGGGGGGGGAAGAGAAAAGAAGAGAAAAGAAAAGGUUAGCCUUACUUACCAAACAGGAACUUUUGCAUAGUUUUUUGUUUUUCUCAAUGUGUUUGCGAAGCUGCUCCUGUUCUUUGGACUGUAGCCAAUUUGCCUAGGCUGUGUUGAAGGGCUGUGCCCAGAGCUGCAUGGGGACUGCACCACUGCACCUCACAGCUGGUGGAAUCUCCCAGGUCUUACAAGAGAUGCUUGCCUGCGGUACCGAUGGAGAGGUUUGCCUUUUCUGCAGCCUUCUUAUGUUGCUGGUGUGCCUGGUUACUGAGACUCACAGAUCCUUUCUGCUGUGUUUUGUCCCCACAUGCAAGUGGGAGCUUCUCAAACUGUCACAGAAGGCAUUCAAAAGCAGACUAGAGCCUCUGAGGUCAACUUCUGCCUGACAAUUCAGUCACAGCUGACAAGACUCCUCCUACCUCUAGUGAUUUGCCUCAUCCCCAUAAAUUAAACAGGAAAGCUCUGCCUGAGGUUGCAUCCAGUGUUGCCUUGCAGCUGAAUUUUGCAAAGUGGGAGUGCUUUGAGUAUAUUCUUCCAUUAUCACCGUGUAUACUUUCAACAUACAUAGAGGAUUUUCUUGACAAGAGAUUCAGAUAAAGGCCUGAACUGAAGGUCACUGUAAGUAUAUGCCAUUUCUGUCAGAUGUUUGCAUGAGUUUUCCAUCUCAUAGUGUUCACUUGCAAACUACAAAGUCAUUAUGCUGUAUAAUGACUUGAAUGUUAAGUUAAAUUUGUGUUUAAUGU